rnacentral:misc_RNA from 1 species
AGGAAAACAGAAAUUAUUUAAAAAUUAAACAUUUAGUUCUUCUGUUCCUUUGGCCAAAAACUAGUAGUAGAUGUUUUAAAUAAUUUAAAAUGCAUGAGUGGGAAGCAGCUCAUGUUGAAAUCAUUUAUUGACCUAAAAAGUUAGAUAUCAUUGUUUUUAAUACAAAAUUAUCCUUGGUUUUUCCCUGCUUAUGUUGUACAUGUGAUAAUUUAAAAAAAAAAUUAUAGUGUUUUAUAGGUAUUAUAUGAUAUAUUGUAUUUUGGUUGUUCUGGGAUGUGAACAUAAGGCACAAAGUGCUUGUAAUUCUCUGUGAUUGCUAGUGAGCUUGAUCUUGCUAGACAAUUUACUGAUCUAGUGGAGAUUCUGUUUUUUGUUGUUUGCUUUGUCAUUUUCUUUUGUGUUUGAUAUUUAUAUGGUUAAAAGCUCCUUUCUUGCUUCCUUUAUCAUGACUUGAUGUGGGUUAGAUGGAGCUGGAAAACCUUUAACUAAUAUCUGUUUCAGUUUUGCAUAAUUUUCUUAUUAAUUGGUGGAGCUGGAAAACCUUUUACUAAUAUCUGUUUCUGUUUUGUUUAAUUUUCUUAUUCAUUUCUAUGCUAAUAUGGUUUUUUCUUCACUAGGUGUUA